rnacentral:rRNA from 1 species
UACGAAAGGGGCUAGCGUUGUUCGGAAUUACUGGGCGUAAAGCGCACGUAGGCGGCCUUGUAAGAUGGGGGUGAAAUCCCCGGGCUCAACCCCGGAACUGCCUUCAUGACUGUAAAGCUUGAGGAUGGGAGAGGUUAGUGGAAUUCCUAGUGUAGAGGUGAAAUUCGUAGAUAUUCGGAAGAACACCAGUGGCGAAGGCGGCUAACUGGCCCGGUUCUGACGCUCAUGUGCGAAAGCGUGGGGAGCAAACAGG